rnacentral:rRNA from 1 species
GACCCCGCACAAGCGGUGGAUCAUGUUGUUUAAUUCGAUGCAACGCGAAGAACCUUACCAGGGUUUGACAUCCUGCGAAUCUCUUGGAAACAGGAGAGUGCCUUCGGGAACGCAGUGACAGGUGGUGCAUGGCUGUCGUCAGCUCGUGUCGUGAGAUGUUGGGUUAAGUCCCGCAACGAGCGCAACCCACGUCUUUAGUUGCCAGCAUUUAGUUGGGCACUCUAGAGAGACUGCCGGUGAUAAACUGGAGGAAGGUGUGGAUGACGUCAAGUCAUCAUGCCCCUUACAUCCUGGGCUACACACGUACUACAAUGCUACGGACAAAGGGCAGCAAGUUCGCGAGGACAAGCAAAUCCCAUAAACCGUGGCUCAGUUCAGAUCGUAGGCUGCAACUCGCCUACGUGAAGGCGGAAUCGCUAGUAAUCG